rnacentral:lncRNA from 1 species
GCGUGCACGCGAGAGGGAGAGUGAGACACCUUGUGUCCAAAUUUAUGCACAUUUCUAUAUACAUGCACAUAUAUAGGCAUAGUAUGUAUACAUGCAUAUAUAUGUACAUAUAUCAUGAGAUAGAGUCUUAGGAAGUCACUGAGUUGCCCCAGCUGAGCUGAAGUUGAGAUCCUCCUGCCUCAGCUUCCCAAAGCACUGAGAAGAGAGAAGUGACUCACCGUUUCCACACUUGAAGAAUGCUGGUGUGGAAUGCCAAGAAGGGGGACGGGUCCAGGUCUUUCGUGGAAACGCUCCCCCAUCAUCCAGGAGUGGAAGACGAGUCCUUGAGGAGACAGAGGAAGCAAUGAGAAAGGCCGGAGCACCUGCUGCUGGCCAAUGGAGGUGGGGCCCAGUAAAGAUGCAGAAUCCUGGACUACAACUCCCAGGGAUCCUCGCGCCGACUCUCGCCAACUCGCUUGCACCCAAGUUCGACCUGAAGGUGAUAGGCGGGGAGCCUUCCGUGGGAGCAGGGGACCUUUCACCCAGCAUCUCUGAGCUGAGAGCAGCGGUGGCUGUGGGCAGCUUCGACGUGGGCAGAAAUGGAGGGGGAGCUGAGCCUGGCGGGCAGACGCCUGAAGCUGGUUCUUCUUGUGCGCUGCUUCUGAGGACUGCACUCCCAGACCAAGGUACCUGUCUAGAUUUGGGGAGAACAGGACCUGAGAAGAGCCUCGGCUUCAUCUUCGGCCCCCUUUACAAGUAUGAUCUCACCCAACCGUGACCUCUGCACACUGUGCCCUGAAGGCCAGGUUGGCUGCCUGAAGGUGGGCACUCACCCACCCUGUGAGGACUUCCUCCCGGGCCGGGCCCCAAACUGAGGCCUCCUUGCCUCUGCAUCCAGCGUGACCCCAGACCAUUGCUGAACCUGACCUGAAAAGGGCCACAGUGAUACUGGCCUCCCGUGUUUGGAAGCUGAGGUGGCGCCCCUCUGCCACCCUGCACGUGGGUGUUGGGGAAGUGGUGAUUUCUACUGUGGGCCGUGUUCUAGAUGGGCCUUGUGCUGCUGACACUCGUGGACAGGCAGCACACCGUUGGCUACCCCCAGGACAGCCAGUCCCCUGGUAGCUUCGCUGGGGUUUGGGAGCCACAUUUCCCACCUAUAAUCUGAGGUGGCCCAAGUGUGUUGGAGAUGUGUCCUAGAUCAAAAAGCCAGGCUCCACGAGAGGGGAGUUGCCUUUCUUCUGCUCAGCCCACGCCCAUCCUGCGCUGUCAUGGACCUUGUCCAAAUCGUAUUCUUUCACCCUGACCCAAGACUUACUGUCUCCUGUCAUUUUACCCAUAUUCAAUUCUUCUUCUAAGCCCACGUGAUCUCUCUUCUUUGGCCUUUUUGACUCAAAUCUUAUUUCUUUCUCCUUGCCCAGUUCUUAACCUGUGUGCCCAUGUUCUCCCAUCCAGCAUUAAGUCACUUCCUUUGAAUGCAUCCUUUGAUCCCCAUCUGUACCAAAGAAAACCACAGUGAGCAGCACCUCAAAAUUUAAAAGUGGGCUUUAUUUCCUGUUUGUUCUACUGAGCUCCUCUGCUGAGGAGUUAUAGUCUACUGAAAAUAACCAGGAAGUGGUUAUGGUAAUCUUCACUGGUACAUCAGAAUCAGCAAAUUUCUACUGAUCUCUACAUAUCUAAGUGGAGAACCACUUGGUACCAAAGUGUCUGGACAGUGCUCCUGGCUCUUAUCUUAUGUAUCCGUAGUAUUGAGCAAUUUCCAUGUCUCUCUCCCUCUGCCUGAAAAACUGCAGCUUCCCUAAGGAGGCGUAUUUGGCAGCCAGCUCCUGCUCUAGCUGAGCCUGCCUCUUCAUUGCCUCUUGCUCCGGUCUCUGUUCCUCUGUAAUCGGGGUCGACAUGACUAGUUCAGGAACAUUGGGCUCCCUCCAGGGAAUCCGCUGGCAGCUGAAGUCUUCGAUGAGAUAUGGGUGGCGUGGCUGUGGUGGGGAACUGUGCUGCUUGGUCACAGCAGUGGCUACGGGCACUCUUCUGAGUGAGGAGCAAGGUGAUGUUGCCCGGGAUGCAGGCU